rnacentral:tRNA from 1 species
UGCCGAGUUGUGUAACGGUAGCACGCGAGGUUCUGGCCCUCGUAGUCCAGGUUCAAAUCCUGGCUUGGCAG